rnacentral:rRNA from 1 species
UACGAAGGGGGCUAGCGUUGCUCGGAAUUACUGGGCGUAAAGCGCACGUAGGCGGCUUUCUAAGUCGGGGGUGAAAUCCUGGAGCUCAACUCCAGAACUGCCUUCGAUACUGGAGCUUGAGUCCGGGAGAGGUGAGUGGAACUGCGAGUGUAGAGGUGAAAUUCGUAGAUAUUCGCAAGAACACCAGUGGCGAAGGCGGCUCACUGGCCCGGUACUGACGCUGAGGUGCGAAAGCGUGGGGAGCAA